GAUGAACGCUGGCGGCGUGCCUAAUACAUGCAAGUCGAGCGAACAGAUAAGGAGCUUGCUCCUUUGAAGUUAGCGGCGGACGGGUGAGUAACACGUGGGUAACCUACCUAUAAGACUGGGAUAACUUCGGGAAACCGGAGCUAAUACCGGAUAACAUUUAGAACCGCAUGGCUCUAAAGUGAAAGAUGGUUUUGCUAUCACUUAUAGAUGGACCCGCGCCGUAUUAGCUAGUUGGUAAGGUAACGGCUUACCAAGGCGACGAUACGUAGCCGACCUGAGAGGGUGAUCGGCCACACUGGAACUGAGACACGGUCCAGACUCCUACGGGAGGCAGCAGUAGGGAAUCUUCCGCAAUGGGCGAAAGCCUGACGGAGCAACGCCGCGUGGGUGAUGAAGGGUUUCGGCUCGUAAAACUCUGUUAUUAGGGAAGAACAAAUGUGUAAGUAACUGUGCACAUCUUGACGGUACCUAAUCAGAAAGCCACGGCUAACUACGUGCCAGCAGCCGCGGUAAUACGUAGGUGGCAAGCGUUAUCCGGAAUUAUUGGGCGUAAAGCGCGCGUAGGCGGUUUCUUAAGUCUGAUGUGAAAGCCCACGGCUCAACCGUGGAGGGUCAUUGGAAACUGGGAAACUUGAGUGCAGAAGAGGAAAGUGGAAUUCCAUGUGUAGCGGUGAAAUGCGCAGAGAUAUGGAGGAACACCAGUGGCGAAGGCGACUUUCUGGUCUGUAACUGACGCUGAUGUGCGAAAGCGUGGGGAUCAAACAGGAUUAGAUACCCUGGUAGUCCACGCCGUAAACGAUGAGUGCUAAGUGUUAGGGGGUUUCCGCCCCUUAGUGCUGCAGCUAACGCAUUAAGCACUCCGCCUGGGGAGUACGACCGCAAGGUUGAAACUCAAAGGAAUUGACGGGGACCCGCACAAGCGGUGGAGCAUGUGGUUUAAUUCGAAGCAACGCGAAGAACCUUACCAAAUCUUGACAUCCUUUGAAAACUCUAGAGAUAGAGCCUUCCCCUUCGGGGGACAAAGUGACAGGUGGUGCAUGGUUGUCGUCAGCUCGUGUCGUGAGAUGUUGGGUUAAGUCCCGCAACGAGCGCAACCCUUAAGCUUAGUUGCCAUCAUUAAGUUGGGCACUCUAGGUUGACUGCCGGUGACAAACCGGAGGAAGGUGGGGAUGACGUCAAAUCAUCAUGCCCCUUAUGAUUUGGGCUACACACGUGCUACAAUGGACAAUACAAAGGGCAGCUAAACCGCGAGGUCAUGCAAAUCCCAUAAAGUUGUUCUCAGUUCGGAUUGUAGUCUGCAACUCGACUACAUGAAGCUGGAAUCGCUAGUAAUCGUAGAUCAGCAUGCUACGGUGAAUACGUUCCCGGGUCU
rnacentral:rRNA from 1 species